rnacentral:rRNA from 1 species
AGCAGGUCAUAGUGAUCCGGUGGUUCUGAAUGGAAGGGCCAUCGCUCAACGGAUAAAAGGUACUCCGGGGAUAACAGGCUGAUACCGCCCAAGAGUUCAUAUCGACGGCGGUGUUUGGCACCUCGAUGUCGGCUCAUCACAUCCUGGGGCUGAAGUCGGUCCCAAGGGUAUGGCUGUUCGCCAUUUAAAGUGGUACGCGAGCUGGGUUUAGAACGUCGUGAGACAGUUCGGUCCCUAUCUGCCGUGGGCGUUGGAAGAUUGAAGGGGGCUGCUCCUAGUACGAGAGGACCGGAGUGGACGAACCUCUGGUGUUCGGGUUGUGUCGCCAGACGCAUUGCCCGGUAGCUAAGUUCGGAAUCGAUAACCGCUGAAAGCAUCUAAGCGGGAAGCGAGCCCUGAGAUGAGUCUUCCCUGAUACUUUAAGUAUCCUAAAGGGUUGUCGGAGACUACGACGUUGAUAGGUCAGGUGUGUAAGUGCUGUGAGGCAUUGAGCUAACUGAUACUAAUUGCCCGUGAGGCUUAACCAUACAACACCCAAGGGGUUU